rnacentral:rRNA from 1 species
AGAGUGAACGCUGGCGGCGUGCUUAACACAUGCAAGUCGAACGAGAACGGAUUUAAGCUUGCUUAAAUUGUCAGCUAAGUGGCGCACGGGUGAGUAAUAUAUAGUUAACCUGCCCUAGAGAGGGGGAUAACGUUUGGAAACGAACGCUAAUACCCUAUAUGCCUUUAAUACAUAAGUAUGCAAGGGAAAUAUUUAUAGCUCUAGGAUGGGACUGUACGGUAUCAGUUAGUUGGUGAGGUAAUGGCUCACCAAGACUAUGACACCUAACUGGUUUGAGAGGAUGAUCAGUCACACUGGAACUGAGACACGGUCCAGACUCCUACGGGAGGCAGCAGUGGGGAAUAUUGCACAAUGGACGAAAGUCUGAUGCAGCAACGCCGCGUGGAGGAUGACACAUUUCGGUGCGUAAACUCCUUCUAUAUAGGAAGAUAAUGACGGUACUAUAUGAAUAAGCACCGGCUAACUCCGUGCCAGCAGCCGCGGUAAUACGGAGGGUGCAAGCGUUACUCGGAAUCACUGGGCGUAAAGAGCGUGUAGGCGGGUUAAUAAGUUGGAAGUGAAAUCCUAUGGCUCAACCAUAGAACUGCUUUCAAAACUGUUAACCUAGAGUAUGGGAGAGGUAGAUGGAAUUUCUGGUGUAGGGGUAAAAUCCGUAGAGAUCAGAAGGAAUACCGAUUGCGAAGGCGAUCUACUGGAACAUAACUGACGCUGAGACGCGAAAGCGUGGGGAGCAAACAGGAUUAGAUACCCUGGUAGUCCACGCCCUAAACGAUGCACACUAGUUGUUGCUAUGCUAGACAUAGCAGUAAUGCAGUUAACACAUUAAGUGUGCCGCCUGGGGAGUACGGUCCGCAAGAUUA